AGGGUUCGGUGGAGCGUUACGUGAAGCGUCUGUGUGUCUGCGAGAUCUUGCUGUGGGCCAGGUAUCCAUUCUCCUGCGGCAGCUUAGACCCUACGGAGACUAGAGGUCCGUGGGUGGUGGAGGAUCCUUUGCGUAGCAAAAAAAGAAGGCGAGUGCUCCUGCAUCCUCUCAAGACGGUACCCAGGGUCUCACUUUUCAGCUCUGGCUGCCCUGAACCUCACUGAGAUCCCCAUCUGCCUACAAAGUGCUGGGAUUAAAGGUUUGCUUUGAGCGUCUCGUCAUUAAACCAUUGAUCAUUGAGACUUCUUUCAAGUAUGAGGUUUCUAACAUUAAUAUUUUCAAGACUAGGGAUGCAGUUCAGUGGUAA
ensembl:lincRNA